rnacentral:rRNA from 1 species
AUUGAACGCUGGCGGCAGGCUUAACACAUGCAAGUCGAGCGGGGUGAUGGUGCUUGCACUAUCACUUAGCGGCGGACGGGUGAGUAAUGCUUAGGAAUCUGCCUAUUAGUGGGGGACAACAUCUCGAAAGGGAUGCUAAUACCGCAUACGUCCUACGGGAGAAAGCAGGGGAUCACUUGUGACCUUGCGCUAAUAGAUGAGCCUAAGUCGGAUUAGCUAGCUGGUGGGGUAAAGGCCUACCAAGGCGACGAUCUGUAGCGGGUCUGAGAGGAUGGUCCGCCAGACUGGGACGGAGACACGGCCCGGACUCCUACGUGAGGCAGCAGUGGGGAAUAUUGGACACUGGGGGGAACCCUAAUCCAGCCGUGCCGCGUGUGUGAAGAAGGCCUUAUGGUUGUAAAGCACUUUAAGCGAGGAGGAGGCUCUUUUGGUGAAUACCCAAGAUGAGUGGACGUUACUCGCAGAAUAAGCACCGGCUAACUCUGUGCCAGCCGCCGCCGUAA